GAUGAACGCUGGCGGCGUGCCUAAUACAUGCAAGUCGAGCGAACAGACGAGGAGCUUGCUCCUCUGACGUUAGCGGCGGACGGGUGAGUAACACGUGGAUAACCUACCUAUAAGACUGGGAUAACUUCGGGAAACCGGAGCUAAUACCGGAUAAUAUAUUGAACCGCAUGGUUCAAUAGUGAAAGACGGUUUUGCUGUCACUUAUAGAUGGAUCCGCGCCGCAUUAGCUAGUUGGUAAGGUAACGGCUUACCAAGGCAACGAUGCGUAGCCGACCUGAGAGGGUGAUAGGCCACACUGGAACUGAGACACGGUCCAGACUCCUACGGGAGGCAGCAGCAGGGAAUCUUCCGCAAUGGGCGAAAGCCUGACGGAGCAACGCCGCGUGAGUGAUGAAGGUCUUCGGAUCGUAAAACUCUGUUAUUAGGGAAGAACAAAUGUGUAAGUAACUAUGCACGUCUUGACGGUACCUAAUCAGAAAGCCACGGCUAACUACGUGCCAGCAGCCGCGGUAA
rnacentral:rRNA from 1 species